AAAUUGAAGAGUUUGAUCAUGGCUCAGAUUGAACGCUGGCGGCAGGCCUAACACAUGCAAGUCGAACGGUAACAGGAAGAAGCUUGCUUCUUUGCUGACGAGUGGCGGACGGGUGAGUAAUGUCUGGGAAACUGCCUGAUGGAGGGGGAUAACUAC
rnacentral:rRNA from 1 species